GGUUAAGUCCCGCAACGAGCGCAACCCUUAAGCUUAGUUGCCAUCAUUAAGUUGGGCACUCUAAGUUGACUGCCGGUGACAAACCGGAGGAAGGUGGGGAUGACGUCAAAUCAUCAUGCCCCUUAUGAUUUGGGCUACACACGUGCUACAAUGGACAAUACAAAGGGCAGCGAAACCGUGAGGUCAAGCAAAUCCCAUAAAGUUGUUCUCAGUUCGGAUUGUAGUCUGCAACUCGACUACAUGAAGCUGGAAUCGCUAGUAAUCGUAGAUCAGCAUGCUACGGUGAAUACGUUCCCGGGUCUUGUACACACCGCCCGUCACACCACGAGAGUUUGUAACACCCGAAGCCGGUGGAGU
rnacentral:rRNA from 1 species